rnacentral:rRNA from 1 species
CACAUGACUCUCGGCAACGGAUAUCUCGGCUCUCGCAUCGAUGAAUAACGUAGCAAAAUGCGAUACCUGGUGUGAAUUGCAGAAUCCCGUGAACCAUCGAGUUUUUGAACGCAAGUUGCGCCCGAGGCCUUUUGGUUGAGGGCACGUCUGCCUGGGCGUCACG